rnacentral:tRNA from 1 species
GUCCGGAUAGUGUAGGGGACUAUCAUGAAGCCCUGUCGAGGCUUCGACCCGGGUUCGAAUCCCGGUCCG